rnacentral:lncRNA from 1 species
GCACCAUACAUUUAUUUUAUUGAUCACACAAAUCUUACUUUUACGUUAUUAAUUGCAUGUCCGGCGUAACAUUUCAGAUUGUAUAAAAUGCAUUUUCUAAAGCACCGUUGUAAUUUUGCACAUAAAAUCUGCGAAAUUUUGUACACCAACCUCCCACUAGAUCUAUAUUCUAACGUCAUAGCCAUUUUUUUUGCGUUUGGUGAAAUUUGAAGGAAGUCCUCAGCGAAGCAUUCAGCAGAAGAACUUGUCUUCAUGUGUCAUUCGGAAAAUUAAUCAAAUUUCGAAUUUUAUUAUUAUUACUAUAAUAUAAUAUAAUCAUAUUAAAACUAUAGUCAAUAGAAAGCUCUGAAAAUGAUAAACAUUUUCAAAUUUUCAAAGGUAAAAAAACCAUUUUCAUGAAGCAGAAUUUGAAUAAAUCGCAUGUCUAGCCACUAUGUCCAAACGUUAUUUUUUUUCUAUUCCUUAGGUGAAAUAUGUAAUAAAAAUAGAAAAUGUCCCUUUAUAAUACAAAAUUAACAUAUUUAAAAGAUACAAUAUAUAAGUUCAUACAAAUGGCUUAAUGAGUCGGGUGUUUUCACAAACAUCAUGACCUUACAAUUUUUUUUUUCGGAAAGCAUUCCCUAUGUCUAGCCAUUAUGUCCAAGUGCGUUAUUUAGACCGUUUUCUGCACAGUGGCGUCUUUAUUACACACUUUUCCGUGUAGGUAGUUAUCAUAAUUCCGGGAAAUGUUCAUUCAAAAAGGUCUGCUGUAUCAAAAUAACACUUAGAUUAAAAUACCACACACACAUAGGGAAUAGACCCUUUAUAGACACAGGGAAAACGGGGGAUGGGCUAGGGAUAAUUUCUUAUGAACCAAAAUUUUCACGCAAAUCACACACCUUAAUAGAUUAGAAUCCGAUGUACAAUAGUCUUAUAAAAUUUAAAAUGAUAUAGAAAGACUUAUUUGUAAAAUACAACCAUCAGUGCCUAAAAAAUAAAAUGAGAAAAAGCAUUUCAAAUAGUCUGAAAAGCUCGAACAGACACACACAGAUAUUAAACAAAAGUGAGUUCAAUCUCAAAAAAUC